UACGAAGGGGGCUAGCGUUGUUCGGAAUCACUGGGCGUAAAGGGCGCGUAGGCGGCUUUAUAAGUCGGGGGUGAAAGCCUGUGGCUCAACCACAGAAUUGCCUUCGAUACUGUAGAGCUUGAGACCGGAAGAGGUAAGUGGAACUGCGAGUGUAGAGGUGAAGUUCGUAGAUAUUCGCAAGAACACCAGUGGCGAAGGCGGCUUACUGGUCCGGUUCUGACGCUGAGGCGCGAAAGCGUGGGGAGCGAACAGG
rnacentral:rRNA from 1 species